rnacentral:rRNA from 1 species
UACGUAGGGUGCGAGCGUUAAUCGGAAUUACUGGGCGUAAAGCGUGCGUAGGCGGUUCGUUGUGUCGGUGGUGAAAGCCCCGGGCUCAACCUGGGAAUGGCCGUUGAAACUGGCGAACUGGAGUGUGGCAGAGGGGGGUGGAAUUCCGCGUGUAGCAGUGAAAUGCGUAGAGAUGCGGAGGAACACCGAUGGCGAAGGCAGCCCCCUGGGCUAACACUGACGCUCAGGCACGAAAGCGUGGGGAGCAAACAGG